UACGGAAGGGGCAAGCGUUGUUCGGAAUCAUUGGGCGUAAAGGGCGCGUAGGUGGUUCUGUAUGUCUACCGUGAAAGCGUACGGCUCAACCGUAUUUUGUCGGUAGAAACUGCAGGACUUGAGGCUGGGAGGGGCUGGUGGAAUUCCCUGUGUAGCGGUGAAAUGCGUAGAGAUGGGGGAGAACACUCGUGGCGAAGGCGGCCAGCUAGACCAGUUCUGACACUGAGGCGCGACAGCGUGGGGAGCGAACAGG
rnacentral:rRNA from 1 species